UGGUUCUGGCAUCGAUGAAGAACGCAGCGAAAUGCGAUAAGUAAUGCGAAUUGCAGAAUUCCGUGAGUCAUCGAAUCUUUGAACGCACAUUGCGCCCGUUAGUACUCUAGCGGGUAUGCCUGUUCGAGCGUCAUUUCAAACCCUCAAGCACUGCUUGGUGUUGGGGCGCCACGGUGGACCCCUACCGUGGGCCCUGAAAUAUAGUGGCAGGCUCGCUAUAACUCCGAGCGUAGUAAUAUACCUCGCUCAGGGCGUCGUGGCGGGCUCUAGCCCCCUUAUAGACUUACCCAAGUUGACCUCGGAUCAGGUAAGAGUACCCGCUGA
rnacentral:misc_RNA from 1 species